AAAAUGUUAUAGGGAUAUUGGAUCAGGGAUCACCUUGGACCAACAAUUAAACGGUCAGAUCAUAGCCAUCUUAAACUGAUUACUCUCGAUGAUCAAAGAAGUUUAUUGAGAGUUGUUCCACAGAUCGUAAGAGACGCUGAAACUUCACAAUAUGUAGACGGAUUUGCCACACACUUCUAUAUGGAUUU
rnacentral:lncRNA from 1 species